rnacentral:rRNA from 1 species
CUACGGUCUCAGUUCAGAUUGCAGGCUGCAACUCGCCUGCAUGAAGUUGGAAUUGCUAGUAAUCGCGAAUCAGAAUGUCGCGGUGAAUACGUUCCCGGGCCUUGUACACACCGCCCGUCACACCAUGAGAGUCGAUAACACCCGAAGCCUGUGAGCUAACCGUAAGGAGGCAGCAGUCGAAGGUGGGGUUGAUGAUUGGGGUGAAGUCGUAACAAGGUACC